rnacentral:rRNA from 1 species
UACGUAGGGAGCAAGCGUUGUCCGGAAUCAUUGGGCGUAAAGCGCGCGUAGGUGGCCUCGUAAGUCCGCUGUGAAAGUCAAAGGCUCAACCUUUGAAAGCCGGUGGAUACUGUGAGGCUAGAGUACGGAAGAGGCGAGUGGAAUUCCUGGUGUAGCGGUGGAGUGCGCAGAUAUCAGGAGGAACACCAAUAGCGAAGGCAGCUCGCUGGGACGUUACUGACACUGAGGCGCGAAAGCGUGGGGAGCGAACAGG